UGCCCGUAGCAGGGGGGGAUAAGCGGAAGAAAUUCCGUCUAAUACCGCGUAACAACCCUUGGAGGCAUCUCCUCGGGUUUAAAGGAAGCGAUUCCGGCUACGGAUGGUCAUGCGUCGCAUUAGCUGGUUGGCGGGGUAACGGCCCACCAAGGCGACGAUGCGUAGGGGUUCUGAGAGGAAGGUCCCCCACACUGGUACUGAGACACGGACCAGACUCCUACGGGAGGCAGCAGUGAGGAAUAUUGGUCAAUGGCCGCAGGGCUGAACCAGCCAAGUCGCGUGAGGGAUGACGGUCCUAUGGAUUGUAAACCUCUUUUGUCAGGGAGCAAAGGGCGCCACGUGUGGCGCUUUGCGAGUACCUGAAGAAAAAGCAUCGGCUAACUCCGUGCCAGCAGCCGCGGUAAUACGGAGGAUGCGAGCGUUAUCCGGAUUUAUUGGGUUUAAAGGGUGCGCAGGCGGAAUGUCAAGUCAGCGGUAAAAUUUCGGGGCUCAACCCCGUCGUGCCGUUGAAACUGGCGUUCUUGAGUGAGCGAGAAGUAUGCGGAAUGCGUGGUGUAGCGGUGAAAUGCAUAGAUAUCACGCAGAACUCCGAUUGCGAAGGCAGCAUACCGGCGCUCAACUGACGCUCAUGCACGAAAGCGUGGGUAUCGAACAGGAUUAGAUACCCUGGUAGUCCACGCAGUAAACGAUGAAUACUAACUGUCCGGGCAGAAUGAUGCCUGGGUGGUACAGCG
rnacentral:rRNA from 1 species